UACGGAGGGUGCAAACGUUGCUCGGAAUCAUUGGGCGUAAAGCGCACGUAGGCGGCGCGUUAAGUCGGGUGUGAAAGCCCUGGGCUCAACCCAGGAAGUGCAUUCGAAACUGGCGCGCUUGAAUAUGGAAGAGGGUCGCGGAAUUCCCGGUGUAGAGGUGAAAUUCGUAGAUAUCGGGGAGGAACACCAGUGGCGAAGGCGGCGACCUGGGCCAAUA
rnacentral:rRNA from 1 species